ensembl:snoRNA Gm25410 predicted gene, 25410
CCCCAACGUGUUGAGUUCAGAACAGCUGAGUUCAGUUCAGAACAGCUCCCCUGUUCCUCUCAUUAAACUUUGGGACAUUGAAAGUGGCUAAAGGAAGUGCCUGAAUAGAGAAUAUUCAUAUAUGUCCUAGUCAACACCA